rnacentral:rRNA from 1 species
CAGUCGAACGAAGCACCUUGAUUUGAUUCUUCGGAUGAAGAUCCUGGUGACUGCGUGGCGGACGGGUGAGUAACGCGUGGGUAACCUGCCUCAUACAGGGGGAUAACAGUUAGAAAUGACUGCUAAUACCGCAUAAGACCACAGCACCGCAUGGUGCAGGGGUAAAAACUCCGGUGGUAUGAGAUGGACCCGCGUCUGAUUAGGUAGUUGGUGGGGUAACGGCCUACCAAGCCGACGAUCAGUAGCCGACCUGAGAGGGUGACCGGCCACAUUGGGACUGAGACACGGCCCAAACUCCUACGGGAGGCAGCAGUGGGGAAUAUUGCACAAUGGGGGAAACCCUGAUGCAGCGACGCCGCGUGAGCGAUGAAGUAUUUCGGUAUGUAAAGCUCUAUCAGCAGGGAAGAAAAUGACGGUACCUGACUAAGAAGCACCGGCUAAAUACGUGCCAGCAGCCGCGGUAAUACGUAUGGUGCAAGCGUUAUCCGGAUUUACUGGGUGUAAAGGGAGCGUAGACGGAGUGGCAAGUCUGAUGUGAAAACCCGGGGCUCAACCCCGGGACUGCAUUGGAAACUGUCAAUCUGGAGUACCGGAGAGGUAAGCGGAAUUCCUAGUGUAGCGGUGAAAUGCGUAGAUAUUAGGAGGAACACCAGUGGCGAAGGCGGCUUACUGGACGGUAACUGACGUUG